rnacentral:tRNA from 1 species
AGUAAAGUCAGCUAAAGUAAGCUCUGGGGCCCAUACCCCCAUCAUGUUGGUUAAAAUCCUUCCUCUACUA